UACGUAGGGUGCAAGCGUUCUCCGGAAUUAUUGGGCGUAAAGAGCUCGUAGGCGGUUUGUCGCGUCUGCUGUGAAAACUGGAGGCUCAACCUCCAGCCUGCAGUGGGUACGGGCAGACUAGAGUGCGGUAGGGGAGAUUGGAAUUCCUGGUGUAGCGGUGGAAUGCGCAGAUAUCAGGAGGAACACCGAUGGCGAAGGCAGAUCUCUGGGCCGUAACUGACGCUGAGGAGCGAAAGCAUGGGGAGCGAACAGG
rnacentral:rRNA from 1 species